rnacentral:rRNA from 1 species
UACAGAGGGGGCAAGCGUUGUUCGGAAUUACUGGGCGUAAAGGGCGCGUAGGCGGCCUUCUAAGUCGAACGUGAAAUCCCCGGGCUCAACCCGGGAACUGCGUCCGAUACUGGAAGGCUUGAAUCCGGGAGAGGGAUGCGGAAUUCCAGGUGUAGCGGUGAAAUGCGUAGAUAUCUGGAGGAACACCGGUGGCGAAGGCAGGUCUCUGGGCAUUAACUGACGCUGAGGAGCGAAAGCAUGGGGAGCGAACAGG